rnacentral:rRNA from 1 species
GAGUAACCAUUUGGAGCUAGCCGUCGAAGGUGGGACAAAUGAUUGGGGUGAAGUCGUAACAAGGUAGCCGUAUCGGAAGGUGCGGCUGGAUCACCUCCUUU